rnacentral:rRNA from 1 species
AUGACAACUUGUGCCAAGCGCGGCUUUGCUCAGCCCAAGCGCCUUUUCACCCUGACCACUUCACCUACUAUCUCCCCCCUCCCAGCCACUUACAAAUCCGCCCUCAAAGACAAAAAAUGGCACGAUGCUAUGCUCGAUGAAUUUAAUGAUUUGAUAAAGAACAAAACUUGGUGUUUGGUUCCUCGGCCUGCAGGUGUCAAUGUGGUCACUAGCAAAUGGAUUUUUCGGCACAAGCUUGACGCUACUGGCUCCCUCGCUCGGUACAAGGCUCGUUGGGUGCUCCAGGGUUUCACGCAUCAAGAGGGUGUCGAUUAUAUGGAGACCUUCAGUCCCGUGGUCAAGCCAGCUACCGUCCGCGUUGUUCUCAGCAUUGCCACCGCUCAGUCCUGGCCGAUCCACCAGUUGGAUGUCAAAAAUGCCUUCUUACAUGGCGAUCUUGGUGAGACUGUUUAUUGUGCUCAACCGGCGGGUUUUGUUGAUCCUUCCUUUCCCAACCAUGUUUACCUCCUCAACAAGUCUCUAUACGGCUUGAAGCAGGCUCCUCGCACAUGGUUCUUGCGGUUCAAGUCUUAUCUCCUCUCCUUGGGUUUCGUAUCAUCCAAGUGUGACACCUCCUUGUUCAUUUUUCACCAUGGCAAUUCCGUUGGUUACCUUCUUCUCUACGUAGAUGACAUCAUCCUCACUGGCAACUCCUCCACUACGUUACACUCUGUCAUCUCCUUCCUCAAAGCAGAAUUUUCCAUGUCCGACCUUGGAGAUAUCCACCACUUCCUUGGUGUGAAUGUCACUCGCACCUCCUCUGGGCUCUUCCUUUCCCAGCAGCAAUACGUGCUUGAAAUCUUGGACUGCGCCAACAUGCUGAAUUGCAAACCUAUUUCCACCCCCGUCGACACCAAGUCCAAAGCAUCCGCUCAUGAUGGUGAUCUACUUGCCAAUCCUACCCACUACCGCAGCCUCGCCGGUGCUCUCCAGUAUCUCACCAUCACCAGGCCCGACAUUUCCUAUGCGGUUCAGCAAGCAUGCCUCUUCAUGCACGCUCCUCGCUCCUCCCACGUGCAGCUCGUGAAGCGCAUCCUCCGCUACCUCCAAAGCACAUCGCACUAUGGCCUCCGGUUCUAUCGCUCCUCCACUCGCGAUCUUGUGGCAUACUCCGAUGUUGAUUGGGCCGGCUGCCCUGACACCAGGAAGUCCACAUCUGGGUUUUGUGUGUUUCUCGGGCCCAAUCUGAUUUCAUGA